AUUAAAUAUUUUAUAUAUUGUAUAAAUAAACAAAAAUAAACUAUGUAUAUAUAUAUAAUUUAUUCGAGUUUGAAUUCGGAUAAUAUUUCGGAUAUCCAUACCUAUUGACAUCGCUACUCCUUAUUUCACUUUUCAAUAUACAAAAAAUACAAAAAAUACGUGCUAAACACGGUGAACCAUUCACCGUGUUUGAACACGGUGAAUGGUUCACCGUGUUCAACUUAACACACGGGCCCAACUCUGCCCGCGU
rnacentral:lncRNA from 1 species